UUGACAGCUCUGGAAACGGAUGGCCUCUUUUUCUCCCAAGAAUAGAUGCAGCCUGAUAAACAGAGGUGUUCCUUCAACUACUCCUUCAAUAAGCCCUCACCCUGAUAAAGCAGUGGCUGAAGGGAGACAGGAGUCACCUUUUCCAGACAGCUCUCUGUACACUGCUUAC
rnacentral:sRNA from 1 species